rnacentral:miRNA from 1 species
UGUGUGUGUGUGUGUGUGUGUGUGUGUGUGUGUGCGCGCGCGCACGCACACACAGACACACAGACACACA